UGCCUGAUUGCCGCCGCGGACGAGCUCGUCGUCACCCAUCUCCCCGGCUUCCAGGGACCCCUCCCCUUCCAGCUCCGAACAGGGUCAGCUCUGCCUCUGCAUGUGGCUCUGAGCCGUCAAUAAUAAUCUCUUGGAUUUCUAUCACCGUGAUUAGCUAUGGCUCACCGGCCGGCGGGCGUACAGGUACGUGGAGGUGGACGAGCACAAUGGCGUCCGUCUCUUCUACUACUUCAUCCUCUCCGAGGGCUCCCCCGCCGACGACCCAGUCAUGCUCUGGCUCAGCGGCGGCCCUGGAUGCACUUCCUUCACCGGCCUCGUCUACCAGAAUGGUGCGUAUGGUAGCCUCCUCCUACUGAUGGUUAAUUCAGAAAGGCACAACACAGUUAUGCUACUGACACUGACAUUGGACAGGCCAAAAUGUGCAUUGGCAACUUUGGUACCUCCUCUUCACAUAGGAGAUGCUUAUGCUUCAUUGGAUCAUGUAGUUGUAGAAAAGCUCAUCAAGUAUAGUUAAAAAAAAAUAUGGCUUGAUAUAUUAUUAGAAUUCAUUUGUAAAAGUCUGCUUUAUUUGUGUAUACUGAAAUAAGAUAUACUACUGCACAAUCUUAACGAUGAUUUGUGCAUCCCUAAAAUAAUUUGCAGGCCC
rnacentral:lncRNA from 1 species